UACGAAGGGGGGCUAGCGUUGCUCGGAAUCACUGGGCGUAAAGGGUGCGUAGGCGGGUCUUUAAGUCAGGGGUGAAAUCCUGGAGCUCAACUCCAGAACUGCCUUUGAUACUGAAGAUCUUGAGUUCGGGAGAGGUGAGUGGAACUGCGAGUGUAGAGGUGAAAUUCGUAGAUAUUCGCAAGAACACCAGUGGCGAAAGGCGGCUCACUGGCCCGAUACUGACGCUGAGGCACGAAAGCGUGGGGAGCAAACAGG
rnacentral:rRNA from 1 species